AACGAACGCUGGCGGCAGGCCUAACACAUGCAAGUCGAGCGCACCUUCGGGUGAGCGGCGGACGGGUUAGUAACGCGUGGGAACGUACCCUUUUCUACGGAAUAGCCUUUGGAAACGAAGAGUAAUACCGUAUACGCCCUUUGGGGGAAAGAUUUAUCGGAGAAGGAUCGGCCCGCGUUAGAUUAGAUAGUUGGUGGGGUAACGGCCUACCAAGUCUACGAUCUAUAGCUGGUUUUAGAGGAUGAUCAGCAACACUGGGACUGAGACACGGCCCAGACUCCUACGGGAGGCAGCAGUGGGGAAUCUUAGACAAUGGGCGCAAGCCUGAUCUAGCCAUGCCGCGUGAGUGAUGAAGGCCUUAGGGUCGUAAAGCUCUUUCGCCUGUGAUGAUAAUGACAGUAGCAGGUAAAGAAACCCCGGCUAACUCCGUGCCAGCAGCCGCGGUAAUACGGAGGGGGUUAGCGUUGUUCGGAAUUACUGGGCGUAAAGCGCACGUAGGCGGAUUGGAAAGUUGGGGGUGAAAUCCCGGGGCUCAACCCCGGAACUGCCUCCAAAACUAUCAGUCUAGAGUUCGAGAGAGGUGAGUGGAAUUCCAAGUGUAGAGGUGAAAUUCGUAGAUAUUUGGAGGAACACCAGUGGCGAAGGCGGCUCACUGGCUCG
rnacentral:rRNA from 1 species